GACGAACGCUGGCGGCGUGCCUAAUACAUGCAAGUCGAACGAACCGCGACUAAGUGCUUGCACUAAGUCAAGGUGAGUGGCGAACGGGUGAGUAACACGUGGGUAACCUACCUCAUAGUGGGGGAUAACAGUCGGAAACGACUGCUAAUACCGCAUAGGACAUAGGAUCACAUGAUCCAGUGAGGAAAGGUGGCGCAAGCUAUCGCAAAGAGAUGGACCCGCGGUGCAUUAGCUAGUUGGUAGGGUAAAGGCCUACCAAGGCGAUGAUGCAUAGCCGACCUGAGAGGGUGAUCGGCCACAUUGGGACUGAGACACGGCCCAAACUCCUACGGGAGGCAGCAGUAGGGAAUCUUCCGCAAUGGACGCAAGUCUGACGGAGCAACGCCGCGUGAGUGAAGAAGGUCUUCGGAUCGUAAAGCUCUGUUGUUAGAGAAGAACAGCGCAUAGAGUAACUGCUAUGCGUGUGACGGUAUCUAACCAGAAAGCCACGGCUAACUACGUG
rnacentral:rRNA from 1 species